UUGAUUAAUCUAUGGCAACACAUCGAAUCCAAUAUGGCAACUCUUGUCCAUUCAUUGCUCUCCAUUACUACUACUUGUAUAAAUACUAGUACUAUUACCCUAAUAAACCCUUACUCUUCUUCUUCUUCUUCUUCUUCUGCUUUUCCUCUUCACCAGCUACGCCUCAUUCCUUCAAUCAACCACAACACAAGAACAACACUCAACAUGUCUCUGCCUAAUUCACAAAAUCCUGUGAAUGUUUCAGUAAUGCCGGCGUCGCAACAGAAAAUCACAAUACCAAACAAGUUUGGCGAAAAACUUGUUGGCAUACUACAUGAAACUGGAUCUGUGGAGAUUGUGAUAUUGUGCCAUGGUUUUCGAUCCACAAAGGAACGGGACAUUAUGGUGAACGUUGCUGUUGCUUUAGAAAAAGAAGGAAUCACUGCCUUCCGCUUUGACUUUGCUGGAAAUGGGUAAGCUUGUAAAUGAAAGGGUGUAAAAACUGACUUGGAAUUAUUUUUGGUAUGUAACAGGUAUUAUUAAGUGGUUGGUGGUUUGAUAGAUUGAGGCUCAUUUGGGCCGCGUGGAGAAGAAGGAUUCAUGUAGCCGACCCCAUUUGAUGGGACUUAAGGCUUCGUUUGGUUUGGUUUGGUUUGGUUUACUUUUUUUUCUUUUCCCUAGUGGAAUUAUCUUAUAGUGCUAAAAAAUUGCCACCUCCGUAAUAUUAGGAGUCUGUGCAAUGCAGUUAUGUAGAUGUAUGCCGUAUCAUUCACUAAUAACUUUUAACUUGCUUUUUUUAAUCAUGGACCCACUUUAAUAGAAUCUUGGCCUAAUAACCUUGAGAUUGUGGGUUCAAGUCAUAGGGCAACCACUCUGUGCAUUAUGUCAAAGGUUAGGUGUGUACCCAAUCUUUCCCCUCGCAAACACACAUUUAUGUGUACUAAUUGAGCGUUGUUUUUUACCCACUUUAAUAG